rnacentral:rRNA from 1 species
GACGAACGCUGGCGGCGUGCCUAAUACAUGCAAGUCGAGCGAGCGGAACUAACAGAUUUACUUCGGUAAUGACGUUAGGAAAGCGAGCGGCGGAUGGGUGAGUAACACGUGGGGAACCUGCCCCAUAGUCUGGGAUACCACUUGGAAACAGGUGCUAAUACCGGAUAAGAAAGCAGAUCGCAUGGUCAGCUUUUAAAAGGCGGCGUAAGCUGUCGCUAUGGGAUGGCCCCGCGGUGCAUUAGCUAGUUGGUAAGGUAAAGGCUUACCAAGGCGAUGAUGCAUAGCCGAGUUGAGAGACUGAUCGGCCACAUUGGGACUGAGACACGGCCCAAACUCCUACGGGAGGCAGCAGUAGGGAAUCUUCCACAAUGGACGCAAGUCUGAUGGAGCAACGCCGCGUGAGUGAAGAAGGUUUUCGGAUCGUAAAGCUCUGUUGUUGGUGAAGAAGGAUAGAGGUAGUAACUGGCCUUUAUUUGACGGUAAUCAACCAGAAAGUCACGGCUAACUACGU